rnacentral:misc_RNA from 1 species
CGCACCUUGCGCUCCCUGGUAUUCCUAGGAGCAUGCCUGUUUGAGUGUCGUGAACAUAUCAACCCCAUAAGGAAUUUUCUUUAUGGUGGCUUGGACUUGGGGGUCUGCUGGCUAUUUAUUUUGGUCAGCUCCCCUUGAAUGCAUUAGCUAGACUUGUUCUAUGGGCUACAUGGUGUGAUAAUUAUCUACGCUUUGUGCUGUCUGUAGGAUAACUAUGAGUCUUGCUUCUAAUCGUCCUAUGGACAAUUACUUUACGUUUUGACCUCAAAUCAGGUAGGACUACCCGCUGAACUUAA